UGGCUUAGAACAACACUUCCGAUGAUGUCAGGCAAACAGGCAGAUUGGGGCACAGCCAGCAGCAGACUGCAAUAAAAGUAAGAUUUUGCUAUAUUUAUGGGGUAAGGAGGGCAAGUUUGUGUUUUUAACACUGUAGUGUCAAGAAUAUAGGUUUGUGUUCCUGACCCUAUAGCAGGCAUAGGCAACCUUCGGCACUCCAGAUGUUUUGGACUACACUUCCCAUGAUGCUUUGCCAG